rnacentral:rRNA from 1 species
GUCUUCGGAUGCUGACGAGUGGCGAACGGGUGAGUAAUACAUCGGAACGUGCCUGGUAGUGGGGGAUAACUACUCGAAAGAGUAGCUAAUACCGCAUGAGAUCUACGGAUGAAAGCAGGGGACCUUCGGGCCUUGUGCUACCAGAGCGGCUGAUGGCAGAUUAGGUAGUUGGUGGGGUAAAGGCUUACCAAGCCUGCGAUCUGUAGCUGGUCUGAGAGGACGACCAGCCACACUGGGACUGAGACACGGCCCAGACUCCUACGGGAGGCAGCAGUGGGGAAUUUUGGACAAUGGGCGAAAGCCUGAUCCAGCAAUGCCGCGUGCAGGAUGAAGGCCCUCGGGUUGUAAACUGCUUUUGUACGGAACGAAAAGCCUGGGGCCAAUACCCCCGGGUCAUGACGGUACCGUAAGAAUAAGCACCGGCUAACUACGUGCCAGCAGCCGCGGUAAUACGUAGGGUGCAAGCGUUAAUCGGAAUUACUGGGCGUAAAGCGUGCGCAGGCGGUUUUGAAACAGUGGUGAAAUCCCCGGGCUCAACCUGGGAACUGCCAUUGUGACUGCAAGGCUAGAGUGCGGCAGAGGGGGAUGGAAUUCCGCGUGUAGCAGUGAAAUGCGUAGAUAUGCGGAGGAACACCGAUGGCGAAGGCAAUCCCCUGGGCCUGCACUGACGCUCAUGCACGAAAGCGUGGGGAGCAAACAGGAUUACAUACCCUGGUAGUCCACGCCCUAAACGAUGUCAACUGGUUGUUGGGUCUUAACUGACUCACUAACGAAGCUAACGCGUGAAGUUGACCGCCUGGGGAGUACGGCCGCAAGGUUGAAACUCAGAGGAAUUGACGGGGACCCGCACAAUCGGUGGAGAUGUGGUUUAAUUGAUGCAACGCGAAAAACCUUACCCACCUUUGACAUGGCAGGAACUUACCAGAGAUGGUUUGGUGCUCGAAAGAGAACCUGCACACAGGUGCUGCAUGGCUGUCGUCAGCUCGUGUCGUGAGAUGUUGGGUUAAGUCCCGCAACGAGCGCAACCCUUGCCAUUAGUUGCUACAUUCAGUUGAGCACUCUAAUGGGACUGCCGGUGACAAACCGGAGGAAGGUGGGGAUGACGUCAAGUCCUCAUGGCCCUUAUAGGUGGGGCUACACACGUCAUACAAUGGCUGGUACAAAGGGUUGCCAACCCGCGAGGGGGAGCUAAUCCCAUAAAGCCAGUCGUAGUCCGGAUCGCAGUCUGCAACUCGACUGCGUGAAGUCGGAAUCGCUAGUAAUCGUGGAUCAGAAUGUCACGGUGAAUACGUUCCCGGGUCUUGUACACACCGCCCGUCACACCAUGGGAGCGGGUCUCGCCAGAAGUAGGUAGCCU